UACGUAGGGUGCGAGCGUAAUCGGAAUUACUGGGCGUAAAGCGCACGUAGGCGGAUUUGUAAGUCAGGGGUGAAAUCCCGGGGCUCAACCUCGGAACUGCCUUCGAUACUGCGGGUCUCGAGUCCGGGAGAGGUGAGUGGAAUUCCUAGUGUAGAGGUGAAAUUCGUAGAUAUUAGGAAGAACACCAGUGGCGAAGGCGGCUCACUGGCCCGGUACCUGACGCUGAGGCGACGAAAGCGUGGGGGAGCAAACAGG
rnacentral:rRNA from 1 species